rnacentral:rRNA from 1 species
GCCUAAUACAUGCAAGUCGAACGCAUUGUGGUUGAAAUGAUUAUGAAGAACUUGUUCAGAUUUGAUUUUCAACAUUGCAAUGAGUGGCGAACGGGUGAGUAACACGUGGGAAACCUACCUCUUAGCAGGGGAUAACAUUUGGAAACAAAUGCUAAUACCGUAUAAUAAUUAAAACCGCAUGGUUUUAGUUUAAAAGAUGGUCUUGCUAUCACUAAGAGAUGGUCCCGCGGUGUAUUAGUUAGUUGGUGAGGUAAUGGCUCACCAAGACAAUGAUACAUAGCCGAGUUGAGAGACUGACCGGCCACAAUGGGACUGAGACACGGCCCAUACUCCUACGGGAGGCAGCAGUAGGGAAUCUUCCACAAUGGACGAAAGUCUGAUGGAGCAACGCCGCGUGUGUGAUGAAGGGUUUCGGCUCGUAAAACACUGUUGUAAGAGAAGAAUGACAUUGAGAGUAACUGUUCAAUGUGUGACGGUAUCUUACCAGAAAGGAACGGCUAAAUACGUG